GUGGGGAAUCUUCCACAAUGGACGAAAGUCUGAUGGAGCAACGCCGCGUGAGUGAAGAAGGGUUUCGGCUCGUAAAGCUCUGUUGUUUGGGACGAAAGUGCCUGUUGCGAACAGUUACGGGUAUUGACGGUACUAAACGAGGAAGCCACGGCUAACUACGUGCCAGCAGCCGCGGUAAUACGUAGGUGGCAAGCGUUGUCCGGAAUUAUUGGGCGUAAAGAGCAUGUAGGCGGGAAUCUAAGUCUGUUGUUAAAAUGCGGGGCUCAACCCCGUAUUGCGAUGGAAACUGGGUUUCGUGAGUGCAGGAGAGGAAAGGGGAAGUCCCAGUGUAGCGGUGAAAUGCGUAGAUAUUGGGAGGAACACCAGUGGCGAAGGCGCCUUUCUGGACUGUGUCUGACGCUGAGAUGCGAAAACCAGGGUAGCGAACGGGAUUAGAAACCCUGGUAGUCC
rnacentral:rRNA from 1 species